GACGAACGCUGGCGGCGUGCCUAAUACAUGCAAGUAGGACGCAGUUGCGAACGGAAGAGUAACGCGUAGGUAACUACCUAUUAGAGGGGGAUAACUAUUGGACACGAUAGCUAAUACCGCAUACUAGUAGAUGGACCUGCGUUGUAUUAGCUAGUCGGUAGGGUAAUGGCCUACCUAGGCAACGGUACAUAACCGGCCUGGGAGGGUGGAUGGCCACACUGGGACUGGGGCACGGCCCAGACUCCUACGGGAGGCAGCCGUAGGGAAUCUUCGGAAAUGGGGGGAACCCUGACCGAGCAACGCCGCGGGAGUGAAGAAGGUUUUCGGAUCGUAAAGCUCUGUUGUUAAGGAAGCGGUACUUAACCAGAAAGGGACGGCUAACUACGUGCCAGCAGCCGCGGUAAUAC
rnacentral:rRNA from 1 species